rnacentral:rRNA from 1 species
GGGAAUACUGUAGAGCUAGGGAGUGGGAGAGGUAGACGGUACUCGGUAGGAAGGGGUAAAAUCCUUUGAUCUAUUGAUGACCACCUGUGGCGAAGGCGGUCUACCAGAACACGUCCGACGGUGAGGGAUGAAAGCUGGGGGAGCAAACCGGAUUAGAUACCCGGGUAGUCCCAGCUGUAAACUAUGCAAACUCAGUGAUGCAUUGGCUUGUGGCCAAUGCAGUGCUGCAGGGAAGCCGUUAAGUUUGCCGCCUGGGAAGUACGUACGCAAGUAUGAAACUUAAAGGAAUUGGCGGGGGAGCACCACAAGGGGUGAAGCCUGCGGUUCAAUUGGAGUCAACGCCAGAAAUCUUACCCGGAGAGACAGCAGAAUGAAGGUCAAGCUGAAGACUUUACCAGACAAGCUGAGAGGUGGUGCAUGGCCGUCGCCAGCUCGUGCCGUGAGAUGUCCUGUUAAGUCAGGUAACGAGCGAGAUCCCUGCCUCUAGUUGCCACCAUUACUCUCAGGAGUAGUGGGGCGAAUUAGCGGGGCCGCCGUAGUUAAUGCGGAGGAAGAAAGGGGCCACGGCAGGUCAGUAUGCCCCGUAACUCUGGGGCCACACGCGGGCUGCAAUGGUAAUGACAAUGGGUCCCAAAUCCGAAAGGAGGAGGUAAUCCUCAAACAUUACCACAGUUAUGACUGAGGGCUGCAACUCGCCCUCACGAAUAUGGAAUCCCUAGUAACUGCGUGUCAUUAUCGCGCGGUGAAUACGUCCCUGCUCCUUGCACUCACCGCCCGU